rnacentral:rRNA from 1 species
CUAUAUACCGCCGUCGUCAGCUCACCCCAUGAGGGCACAGAAGUAAGCAUAACUGACUUCCUCCAAAACGUCAGGUCGAGGUGUAGCGAAUGAAGUGGAAAGAAAUGGGCUACAUU